rnacentral:misc_RNA from 1 species
AUCUCAGUGUUUUCCUUUGCGAAUCACUGGUUGGCCAGUGGAAUUAAUGGCGUACAGCUUUUUAGCAGUCAGCCCUCCAAGUAUGAGCAGACAGUUCGAAGAGAUGGCUGCAGCAGCAUCAAAUAAGACAGGCAUGAAGAAGGAUUUAAGAUACCCUGAAAUUGAGGAACCGACAUUACAGUUCAUAUUGGAUAGUUGUGAGUUGAGCAUAUCAAAGUACACCAAAUUCUUGCAGGUGAGGGGUUUUUGGUAGCAUCAUGCCUUGACUAGAAUACUUAAAGGUUGCUACUGGGGCUUAGCCCAGCUGUCCUUUUAUUUUCUCAGGAAAGAAGGAAAAGAGGGUAGGGAGAUUGUUUGGGGAGGGUGUCAGGGUUUGGGACUGGCUAGAAAUCUUAAACUUCCAGACUUGGUGGUCUCCUCAUGUACCCAAGAAUGGAAUAAUUUUAAUAUUUAACUGUGCAGACACUGUAAACUAAUGGCACUAUGUCAAAAAUAAUAAGUUCCUUCACUUAAUUGUUGAUUUUUUUUUGUACUGCAAAUCUUGCAUUAAGAAGCUCCAUGGGCAAUAGCACCUCUGAAAAUUGGUAUCCCACAUAUACAAUAUAGCUUAGUAGAGUGUAUUGGCCUUUUUACCUAUGAUGUUGAGUUUCUGGGUUGCAUAUGAUCUAAUAAUACAGUUCUUCAUCAUUCUAUUGUCAUUGGAAAGUGAUGCUACUUUAGCGCUCUGAAAAUUUGUAUCCCAUGUCCAUUUGAUAUGAAAUACCAUGUGGCUUAAUGGUGCAUAUUGGCUUCUUUGCCUACAAUCUUGAGCUUUUGGGUUGGAUGGUCUAAAAUGGUUUUCAUCAUUCUAUGCACGU